rnacentral:lncRNA from 1 species
AUUCAAUGCAGAGAAUAGAAGAAUCUUGGGGAGGCUGUAAGCAAUGUGGAACUUGUCUCUAAUAAAACGUCAGUCUUCACCACUUUUCUGCAAUUUCAGCAGAAUUUUAUACUGGACAUGUAAGUUGCAUUAACUUGUGCUGUUGAGCUUCUGAAAUCCUUCCUGUUUUAGGUUAGCUUCUGGGUACUUUGUAUAAUGUUCUAUGUGGCAGGUGGAGAUGCAAAUGUUAACGACAUUAGAUCCAAUACACUAUGCUGAUAGCAGGUGCAUUCUAACUAAUCUUUCGUUUUGGUUUGGUAACUUUCUGUACUUAACUACUUAUUACUUCACAUUUCAUAAGAAACUACCUAGCUUUCACAUUGAUUAGGUCGGAGAUGUCGAUAAAACAAC